UUCGAAAUUUUCGGUUGAAUAUUUUUUAUCGUUUAGUCGGAGAGUGGUGACGCGCCGCGCCCAUGAAGGAUCACGUCACCAACUGAGUGUCAACAAGAUACUAUCUGCCAAUUUAUUUCUAGUACGUUCGAACUCCCAAAAAAAUUCUCUUGACAAUUUGCGGAUUGUAACCACGAAAUGGAGGAUAACAGCGUUUACGCCAAGACUGCUUUACAUUAUAUGCAAGAAGGAUUGAGGGCUACGGAAAAACGGUAAUUUUACAUAAAUUCACAGAUAUUUUGUGAAAAAUUCAGCAACGAUUUACAGCGACUUAAGCCUUUCCAACACUGCUUCUGAUGUUCCGUCAAUUAUUGAGAACGGAAAUUACACUUGACAUUACCUGAAAUCUUCGUGAGUCCUCGAGUUUAUCUCUUUUGCUCCUGGCCUCAGCCUUGAAAUUAGAGUACCUCCCAAGCACUUGUUCCCUCCUCUCCUGAAUGUCCUCAGGAUUCUCGAGGAUCUUCACCUCCUUCGGCGUUAUUUGAUCCAUUUUUCGACGAUUAGCGGACGUUGGGGACGUCCCCGAGUGAAUUAUCCUCAACAAUCAAGCCCCCAAAAUGGCCGUCGGGCGUGGCUGGGCAACUGGGAAUCGAUAAACUCUCCAAAGACUGCGUCCUUUCACAAACACUGCAAUAAAAAUUUCUGAUCGUUACCAAACGAGUUCUGAACAUCCAAAGUUCAAUGUGCACUAGAUUAUUCACGUCAAUUGGGACUUUUGCGGUAGGAAUGUAGACAUUUGUAAGAUUAUUUUGGCAGUCGUACCGGUAAUUGAUCACUCGCUGUUGCCUGCAAUUGCCUGCGCACGAAUAACUGAGCCUAACGGGAGCCGACAGAAGGCGAGAGAAACCGAUAUGAGCGCCUCCACCGGGAUUUGUAAAGAAACAGUGGGGGGAUCCAAUCACAAAUAAACAUUGUUGGUAUGAAUUCAUAGGAUGGGAAUGUUGAUUAAAUUCGAUAAGAAUGGGGCUACCCCUUGAAAAACCUUUCGGUGAUUGUUUAACGACCAACACAUUCGAAGGAGAACUUUGAGUUGCUCCGACAAAAUUCAUUUUUUAUGGUUUUCAACGGUUCCUUGGGCUUUAGAGUUUUAUUAUGUGGAUGCAUCAUCGGUUAUUUUUAGAAAACAUCACGUCAUAUAGAAGACGUUGGCAUUGAUGUGGAUGACAUAAUGUAGAUUGAGAGUUUAUGAUGUUGAUAAUGAGCAUAAAAAUGUUUCUAGAAUUUCGGUUCAAUGGCGAUGAGGUAGUGACAAGGCUAUUGAUGGCGAAUGGGAGCAAUCGUUCUUUAACUUCAAGUAAACAAUAUCUGAUUGUCUGAGUCUCUUGGUUUUUGGACAAUUGCGAAUCAUAUUUUUACUAGUAUAAGAACUGUAGCAUUUAUUUUUCAGUUUCAAUGCUCUCAAUUCAUUCGAUUAAUCUCUUAAAUAGCUAAUAACAUUGGGUAGAUUCACAGCUUUCAUUAUGACAUCACAUCAGAUAAUAAAUCCAUACUUGAGAACAUUUAUAUUAAAAAACAACAUUUUGUCGAUUACAAUUAUCCCUAACAUCCCCUUAUUUUCAAUUCUUAUCGACAACACAGCAAUUGAGUUGUUCUUUGCUCUUGAUUUUCCAAUUCAAAGGAUUUUUUGUUGCCUAAAAUCUCAUGUAUAAUAAAUAUAAAACAAUAAACAAUAAAUAUGAUUUUGAUCAACACAGAUUUAACAAUAAGAACAAUAAUUACGGUUACAUUGAUAAAAAUAAGUACCACGUUAUAAAAUUGGUUCAAUUCCUCUUUUCCCUGAUUUUUUAAAAUUAUACUUGACAUAAAUCUGUCCUAAUAAUUCUGUAGUUAUUACAUAAUACUCAAUGGUGGAACUAACUUCUGGAUUUUACCAAUGAGCUUUUUGGAAACACAUCCAUACCUCGUCUUGCUGUACUUUUUGUGGACGACGUGACUCUUGGAGGAGCGGUAGCAGGAUUCAGUGAUGUUUCUGAUGAUCAAAAUACGGCAGUGGUUGAUGUCCUCGUCCUGGAGCUUCGAGGAGGCGUAUCCCGAACGCCAGCGUUUGAAGAGGGUACAGUGAAGGGUGUUCUCGGGCUCCAUCACGAGAGUCGCCGCCAGUUCAGCGACGGUAGCUGAUAGGAGGAUGGGAGAGGUCUUCAUGAGCUCUUCGUCGAGGAGAGCCAAGUCCAGCUGUAGUGACGAAGAGUUUUUUCGAAUUUUUUCACAAUAUUCAUCAAUCCUUUGCUUAAUUGCAAAGCAAAAAAAAUUCUUGAGCAGACAUUUGACCUGGCUAUUUUUUUUUGAGAUAGUUGAGACACCAAAUUAUUUAUUCAUAUCAAACAAUUCGUUGUAAAUAAAAUACAAAUAUGUUCAGUAGAGCAAAUUUUUUGUGUCAGUGUAGUAAAUGUUAAAAAUGAAAUGUAAAAGAUUACCAUGUAACCCCCGAAGUAGUAGAUUGUUUCCCUCUGCUCCGCGUCUAUGAAGUCAGAGUGAUCUGGUGCUAGCAUGAAGUAAACUAGCAUCGAAAAAGGGUCUGGAUAGUUUAUCUGGAAUUUCAAGGUCUGCAUUAUCUGAAUUUCCCCAUAUCGAACAUCAGUAUCAGUGUAGAGCCCAUCCGCAAAAUUGGCCAUCUUCUGAGCCCCGGGAAUACGAUAGACGAUGUAGUCCUUCUUCAUGAUAAUCCAGAGAGCGCAAAUUACGAUAAGUUGCAGAUUUUGGAGGGGAAUUCUGCAGGCCUGCAGCAUGUCGUCAAAAAUUCUGACCACCGGGUAGAUCAUGUUUGAGGGAAGGGCAUUGUGACUCUAAAAUAGUUUUGUGUGUUACUAAUUGGAAAGAAAAUUAAAAGAAUUGAAUGUA